rnacentral:tRNA from 1 species
GGGAAUUUAGUUUAAAUAAAACGUAGAGUUGUCAGCUCUGAGAGACUAAGUAGUAUUUCCCU